rnacentral:rRNA from 1 species
CCUACGGGUGGCAGCAGUGAGGAAUAUUGGUCAAUGGACGAAAGCCUGAACCAGCCAAGUAGCGUUCAGGAUGACGGCCCUACGGGUUGUAAACUGCUUUUAUACGGGAAUAACGCGCCUUACGUUUAGGGCUUUGCAUGUCCCGUAUGAAUAAGGACCGGCUAAUUCCGUGCCUGCAGCCGCGGUAAUACGGAAGGUCCGGGCGUUAUCCGGAUUUAUUGGGUUUAAAGGGGGCGUAGGCCGCAUGUCAAGCGUGCUGUGAAAUGUCCGGGCUCAACCCGGGCCUUGCAGCGCGAACUGGCGUGCUUGAGUCCGCGGAAAGCAGGCGGAAUUCGUCGUGUAGCGGUGAAAUGCUUAGAUAUGACGAAGAACCCCGAUUGCGAAGGCAGCUUGCUGCAGCGGAACUGACGCUGAUGCUCGAAAGCGCGGGUAUCGAACAGGAUUAGAUACCCGGGUAGUC